GGAAAGUUUUAUUCUUGCUUAAUUAUUUAUUAUAAAUUUACUAUAUAUGUAAGUUUUUGCAUAUAGUUGUUAUAAUUUUCUUAAUGAAGUUUUAACAUAUUUAUUGCAGUAUUGAAUAUUAUAAAUUUAUGAAAUUUUGAUUUAGUAAUUUUUAUUAAGUGUUGAUUAAAUAUGUGCCAGCAAUCGCGGUUAUACAUAAAAUAUAAGUAAAUAAUGUCAGUUAAAAUAGUUAAUUUGUUAUUAUGUAAAAUUUAUUUUGAUUAUUAUUGGGUGAAAUAUUUAAUAUUUAAUUUGAAUUUAAUUAAUUGUUUAAUGAAGCUGUGAAAUCUAAUUUAUAUAAACUAGGAUUAGAUACCCUAUUAUUUUAGAUGUAAAUUAUUUAAACUUGAGUAGUAUUAGUUAAGAUCUUGAAACUUAAAGAAUUUGGCGGUAUUUUAGUCUAUUUAGAGGAAUCUGUCCCAUAAUCGAUAAUCCGCGUUGGACCUUACUUAAUUUAUUAAAUAUGUAUACCGCCGUUGUUGAAAAUCUUUUUAGGGCUUAAUUUUUUAAAAAUUUAUUAAAUAAUCUUUCAGGUCAAGGUGCAGUUUAUAUUUAAGUGGAGAUGGAUUACAAUAUUUUAUAGUAUAUGGAUUAUUAUUUGAAAAUUAAUAAUAUAAAGGUGGAUUUAAUAGUAAUUUUAUGAAGAUUGUUAAUGUGAUUUAUAGCUCUAAAAUAUGCACACAUCGCCCGUCGCUCUCGUUAUGUUUAAGAUGAGAUAAGUCGUAACAUAGUAGUUGUACCGGAAGGUGUAACUAGAAUGAAU
rnacentral:ncRNA from 1 species